GACGUAGGGGGCGAACGUUGUCCGGAAUUAUUGGGCGUAAAGAGCUUGUAGGCGGUUUGUCGCGUCUGCUGUGAAAAUCCGGGGCUCAACCCCGGACUUGCAGUGGGUACGGGCAGACUAGAGUGUGGUAGGGGAGACUGGAAUUCCUGGUGUAGCGGUGAAAUGCGCAGAUAUCAGGAGGAACACCGAUGGCGAAGGCAGGUCUCUGGGCCACUACUGACGCUGAGAAGCGAAAGCAUGGGGAGCGAACAGGAUUAGAUACCCUGGUAGU
rnacentral:rRNA from 1 species